rnacentral:pre_miRNA from 1 species
UGAUGAUGAUGAUGUUGUUGAUAAUGAUGAUGAUGGAGGUGAUCCUCCAUCAUCAUCAUUAUCAACAACAUCAUCACCAUUAUCA